CAGGUCAGCUCCUCUCAAACGAAUCAGCUUGCCAGUGUUUGGUGGGCAUCACAGGUGUGAUAACUAUCUACGCUUGUGAUUUUCCACCAGGUAACCUUCAGCAAUGGAGGUUCGCUGGAGCUCACAGACGUCUCUCCUCAGUGAGGACAGCCCUUUGAAUGUUUGAUCUCAAAUCAGGUAGGACUACCCGCUGAACUUAA
rnacentral:misc_RNA from 1 species